rnacentral:lncRNA from 1 species
UAAUUCAAUAUUCAUCCACUUAUGACCUGUUAAUUCUCUCUUUAGAAUGCACAAGUCAAUAUGUUACUAUUGGUCUGACAUCGAUUGCACUGCUGAUAUCUGUGUGCUUAAAUGUUGCAUUCAGUUUAUUAAGAAGAAAGGGAAAAAAAUAUGCAGCUAAUGAAAACAUGUUUGAAUAUGGAGAUGAGCCAUUACGUCAAGAUUCACUUCGGUCUUACAGGUUUGAGGAUGAUGAGAUGGAAAGACAGGAAAAUCCGAUUUAUGGAAAUAUAUGUUUAGAGGCAGGAGGACCUUUUGAAAUGUCUCCGGAGGUGUGCUAUGAACAAAUGUCACAUGCAGGCACAGCAAAGCAGGGAUUAAAGGUCCAGCAGGGGGACGUGUCCUAUGCCUCUCUGGAUCUGACUGCCAAUAAAAAGCGUAGGAAGAAGAGAAAAUACCAAACACAGACUCACCCUCAGACUCACCAGGCCCAGACACAUCCUCAGCCUGCAUCCCAGCAGAACUGCAUGGACCAGGAUGACGAGGCUGAUGUCACCCUCCCGUCCCGGAGCAGCAGCCUCAUGGUUUCACGUCACAGCAUCUACCUCAACAGUCAUCAAGUAGCCCUGGAGACAGAAGAGAGGGAGAGGGAGAGAGAAAGAGAAAUGGAAAUGGAAAGAGAAAGAGAAAGAGAUGAUAAUGGAGAGAGAGAGUUUGAGAUGCACAGAAAAGUGCUUGAAGGCUUUGAUCACUCCCUCGGUAGAUCAAGACAAAGUCUAAAACAGGACAGUUAACAGUUAGAGAGUUACAAAAAUAAAAAUAAAAAUACCUUUAGCGAAUUAAAAGAAAAAAACACAGGAUACUGUGGGGUGGUGCUGUCAAUAGCUGUGACAUUUAAAGCUCAUCGCUAUCCCAAAUCAUAAGUUCUGUGUGUUCUAAAGCAUGCAGAGGAGACCAGCUGAUGUUGUGUCCAAUCGAGACACAUCUAAAGGAGUUUACCACUUUAAAUGUGCUUUCUUGUUUCUUGCAUUUGAAGGUUGGUCUGUUUGUUGUUGUACUUAUAAGAAGAAUAUAUUAACAAAUAUUUAUCUGCUUAUUUUUAUGCUAUAUUUUCAGGAUAACAUAUAGGCUAUAAAUGUAUAUUUGUGC